AUGUACGAGCUGAGAGAAAAGUGGUCUGUAGCAUAUAACAAGGGAAGGUAUUUCCUAGGGAUGUUGAGCAAUCAGAGGAGUGAGUCUCUAAACUCGAGGCUUCAUGUGCACCUGAAUAGGAGAAUGAAACUCGUUGAUCUCGUGCAACACGUUGAACACUGUGUGUCAGUUUUGCGUAGGAAUGAAGCAGCAUUGGACGCUGUAGCUUCGCACACAAUCUCCUUCACUAGAUUGACUGCUGAUCCACGUGAGAUAAGUGCCUCAUCUAUUUAUACACCUGUUAUGUUCAGUAAGGUAAAGGACGAGAUUGUCAACUUAUCAAGAUGGAAUGUUCUUGAGGUGGAAGAGGACACUGGUUUGGUUAGCUAUGGAGUUGCUCGCAAAGAGUCGGUGCACGUUAGGUUCCAUGUCACAUGUAUUUUUGAUGGAUCUAAGAUGGAAAGUGCAUAUUGUGGAUGUAGGAAGAUGGAAAGCGAGGAUUUUCCAUGUGCUCAUAUAUUUUGCGUUUUGAAGUACAAUGGGAUAUGCACCAUCCCCGCAUGUUGUGUGAAGGCUAGAUGGACAAUGCAAGCCAAGCCUGCUUUCGGUUCUGUGAGGAGUGCCAAUACACAUGUAUGGUCAGAACAGAUGGAUAAGUACCAUGAACUGCGCAAUAUGGCUAGUGAGGCUUUAUUCACGGCCUCAGCUAGUGAAAUGCAAUCAGAAAAGGUGAUGGAGUACCUGAGGAGCAUAUUGGACGAGGGCAACAAAAAUGAUGGGAAUACUGGCACGCCAUCAUUUGUUCCUAUGCCGGCUUAUUUUUCUGGGGCGCGGCAAUGGUUUACAGAUCAAGUCCAAGACCCUAAACCAAUAAUAAAUCCCAAAGGAAGACCAGCCAAAGAAUCGAAUAAGAGGUUGAAGCCAUUCCUGGAGAAUUUGCAAGCAAAAAAGAAAACAUUGAAGAAAGUUCAUGGUCAGUUGAGUAGGGGGAGGAAGAAAAAAGUGAACAAUACUGUAGAAGAAGCAGGAGAAGAAGAAGGAGGAGAAGAAGAAGAAGAAGAAGAAGAAGAAGAAGAAGAAGAAGAGGCGGCAGAAGAAGAGGAUUGUGCUAAGAAGAGGAAACCGGUGAAGAAAGCUUCAACAAAGGUGACUGAAGUUAGUAUGAUGACUCGGGGGAGAAAGAGAAAAGAGAACAAUGACGAAGUGUGUGCUAAGAACAAAGACCUUUCACGAAAACGGCUGGAAAGUCUAAGUAGACAGACAAGGGGGACAAAGAAAAGAUGA
rnacentral:rRNA from 1 species